ensembl:Y_RNA Y_RNA Y RNA
GCCUGGUCCAAAGGUAAUCAGUUAUCUAAACUGGUUGUUCAGUUACUGAUUCAACUCCUUGUUCCAUCCUUUUCCCCUUCUCACUACAAUACUUGACUAGUCUUCA